GACAGAGGGUGCAAACGUUGUUCGGAAUUACUGGGCGUAAAGCGCGUGUAGGCGGCAGGGUGUGUCGGAUGUGAAAUCCCGUGGCUCAACCACGGAAGUGCACCCGAAACUACCCAGCUCGAGUCUCGGAGAGGAAGGUGGAAUGCUUGGUGUAGAGGUGAAAUUCGUAGAUAUCAGGUGGAACACCAGUGGCGAAGGCGAGUCUCUGGACAUUUCCUGACGCUGAGGCACGAAAGCCAGGGGAGCAAACAGG
rnacentral:rRNA from 1 species